AUUGAACGCUGGCGGCAGGCCUAACACAUGCAAGUCGAACGGUAGCACAGAGGAGCUUGCUCCUUGGGUGACGAGUGGCGGACGGGUGAGUAAUGUCUGGGAAGCUGCCUGAUGGAGGGGGAUAACAACUGGAAACGGUAGCUAAUACCGCAUAACGUCGCAAGACCAAAGAGGGGGACCUUCGGGCCUCUUGCCAUCAGAUGUGCCCAGAUGGGAUUAGCUAGUAGGUGGGGUAAUGGCUCACCUAGGCGACGAUCCCUAGCUGGUCUGAGAGGAUGACCAGCCACACUGGAACUGAGACACGGUCCAGACUCCUACGGGAGGCAGCAGUGGGGAAUAUUGCACAAUGGGCGCAAGCCUGAUGCAGCCAUGCCGCGUGUAUGAAGAAGGCCUUCGGGUUGUAAAGUACUUUCAGCGGGGAGGAAGGUGAUACGGUUAAUAACCGUGUCAAUUGACGUUACCCGCAGAAGAAGCACCGGCUAACUCCGUGCCAGCAGCCGCAGUAA
rnacentral:rRNA from 1 species